GUGGAGAAGUAGAGAGGUAGAGACAGGUGGAGAGGUAGAGAGGUAGAGACAGGUGGAGAAGUAGAGAGGUAGAGACAGGUGGAGAGGUAGAGAGGUAGAGACAGGUGGAGAAGUAGAGAGGUAGAGACAGGUGGAGAGGUAGAGAGGUGGAGAGGUAGAGAGGAAGAGACAGGUAGAGACAGGUGGAGAGGUAGAGAGGUAGAGACAGGUGGAGAGGUAGAGAGGUGGAGUGGUAGAGAGGUAGAGACAGGUGGAGAGGUAGAGAGGUAGAGACAUGUAGAGAGGUGGAGAGGUAGAGAGGUGGAGAGGUAGAGAGGUAGAGACAGGUAGAGACAGGUGGACAGGUAGAGAGGUAGAGA
ensembl:lncRNA